AGGUAGAGUAGUAAGUUAUCACUUGACAGUAAUUUGGUUGUCCUCCUCAAAUUCUGCCAAACUGGCUGUCUCUGCUUUCCGCGAAUCGGCACCUUCUCCUUUUUUUUAAGCUGAAUCCCCAUCUUCGACUUCCGCACCUCGCCUGAAUCGCUCAUUCGCUCCCCACCCCAACGCUCCGUCCCCGCGGCCCACCAACCGCCGCCGCCGCCGCCACAGCCAUGCACGGCCGCCGGCACCUCGCGGCGUCCCUUACCCGGGCCCUGAUCCAGGCGCCAUCCCGCUCCAUCUCCUCCACCCCGUCUCUCCUCCAAACCCUCGACCCCUCAGUGCCGUCGCCUCCCGCCGCGGGAGCAGGGCGGCUCGCGGAGCUGCGGCGGCGGCUGCAGGCGGACGCGCCGUCGCUGGGUGACUUCACGUACUCGGUGGAGGUGGGGACGCGGCAGCGCCCGCUGCCCAAGCCCAAGUGGAUGAAGGAGACCGUGCCUGGCGGCGCCAAGUACGCGGCCAUCAAGGCCAAGCUGCGGGAGCUGAAGCUGCACACCGUCUGCGAGGAGGCCCGGUGCCCCAACCUCGGCGAGUGCUGGUCCGGCGGCGAGACUGGCACCGCCACCGCCACAAUUAUGAUCCUUGGGGACACCUGCACGCGCGGAUGCAGGUUCUGUAACGUCAAGACAUCUCGAACACCCCCUCCACCGGAUCCUGAUGAGCCUUCCAAUGUUGCUCAAGCUAUUGCCUCAUGGGGCCUUGAAUAUAUAGUAAUCACGAGUGUUGACCGGGAUGAUCUACCUGAUCAGGGCAGUGGUCACUUUGCUGAAACAGUACAGAAGCUAAAGGCUUUGAAGCCAGAAAUGCUUAUUGAAGCGCUUGUACCUGAUUUCCGUGGAGAUCCAAGCUGCGUAGAGAAGGUUGCGACUUCUGGAUUGCAUGUUUUUGCGCACAACAUUGAAACUGUGGAAGAGCUUCAAAGGAAUGUCAGAGACUACCGUGCAAAUUUCAAGCAAUCUAUAGAUGUUCUGGAAAUGGCGAAAGAGUAUGCUCCUCCCGGUACCCUUACAAAGACAUCGAUAAUGCUGGGAUGCGGGGAGACUCCAGAUCAGGUUAUUAGGACCAUGGAAAAAGUGAGGGCUGCUGAUGUUGAUGUCAUAACAUUUGGCCAGUACAUGAGGCCAUCAAAACGUCACAUGCCUGUUUCUGAGUAUGUUACGCCUGAAGCUUUUGAGAAGUAUCGGGCCCUUGGUGUCGAAAUGGGGUUCCGCUACGUUGCGUCUGGGCCAAUGGUCCGGUCUUCGUACAAGGCAGGUGAAUUCUACAUCAAGGCUAUGAUCGAAGCGGAGCGAGCCAAGGGAACCGCUGCAGACUCAAGUGCAUAACCGAGAUAGCACCUCCCGGCCCCACCCACCCCUUGACUUGGUUGUGCUGCAAAUAAGCUCCUCACUGCUUUUGUAGUCAGAGAGACAUGUCGAUUUUUUACGUCAUAAUUGUAACCACACAUUCACUUCUAUUUUUUUUGGUCAAUUGAACAGUUCCGGCGCCUUCGUGCCUUGGUUCAUCCUCCCUCUCAAGUCCAAGAAAAAAAAAGAGAUCCAAUCUGCCGCAGAUCUGAAUCAGAUAUCCAGAUCACACACACACACAAGAGGCAGACGGAGCUUGCAGGUAGUGCGGAAAUCCUGGAGCACUCCGCGCGUGGCUGGGACGGAGUCAAUUUGACCAUCUUUUGCGCGGUCAACCGACUCGACAUGGCAAAAGCAGGAACGCUGCUGCCCUGCCACUGGCUCGUACGUGAACGAUCUGGGAUUAUGGCUGGAUGAUCGUCCGUCAGAUGGCCGUGGCCCCCAGUGGAGGAGGCAGCUGGGCAGUGUUGCUUGCAAUAAUGCUAGGAACAUGUAGUGAUGAAAUGUGGUGUUGCUGUUGCUCUCCUA